rnacentral:misc_RNA from 1 species
UUGAGCCUAGGCAGACUUGAAAAGGUCAUGAAGGCUACCUUGUUUCAUGUUCCGCCUGCGGGAGAUCACGUCCGCUUGCAUCCGUACCAGCGUCAUAUUCCCACUGUGCUCCACACUUUACAGAUGGCGACUGGCCUUGGUUGGAGAUGGAAAAUCGACUGAACAAAAAAACAAACGAUGAUGAUGAUGCGAAUAAAAAAAAAGUACUAUAGGACACCUAGCGGCUGGUUCGGCAGCUGCCAAGCCCACGGUCAAGCCAGCGAAAAAUCCAAAAUGGCAGCCUUUUGGCGGCCGCCGCUUGCAUUUUAGUCCGGAAAAUUGAACUUUCGGGCCGCAAACUGCACGCAAAACUGGUUGUUAAUAUGUACUAUUUCAAUCGGCACGGUCAGCCUCUUCAUUUCCAGGAAUUCCUACAUGGCUUGGAACCCAGCAGAAGACUAUUUGAAUAUUGUUUUCCAAUGCAGUACAGACUUUGAACUACCUGUAGCCUGUCGUGCACCCUGGAACGAAGCAGUGCUUCGCUCGCUGCUUUUUUCUUUACGCCGGAGGUUGGCGGG